GACAGCCUCCAGAGUGAUGCCAAUUCUAAGAUGACACUUUGAAUGCUUGAGCCCAGGGAAAACUGGUUGUUAAGAGUGGUCAAAAUGAAGUUAUAACAAGUCAACAAAGAGGAUAACAACAAUUCACGCCCACUGAGCUAUGAAGAUGGAGGAAGUGGAGUAGAAAUCAAGGAAUUCAAGGCUUCUAGAACACGGGAUGGUCCUCAACUGACAGCCAGCAAGAAAACAGGGAUCUCAGUGCUAUCACCACAAAGAAAUGGAGACCUGUUCUCUCUAGAACCUGCAAAAGGAAACACCGCCUGCCAAAAUCUUUGUUUUAGCCUCAUGAGACCCACACCGAACUUCUAAAACUACAGAACUAUAAGCCAUAACAGGAAGCAGGUGUCUGAAGAACCUACUACAAGGAAGCUCUGAACACGUGUGGGACAGAUCGCUUCUGGCUUGGGUCAUAAAGAAAAUACUUGUUUGUUGUUUGGCCUUUUAUCAUAAGAAAUUACAAGCAUAUGGAGGAGAAAAAUAUAAUGAACUCCUAUGUACCUAUGA